GACAGAGGGUGCAAACGUUGUUCGGAAUUACUGGGCGUAAAGCGCGUGUAGGCGGCAAUAUAAGUCGGAUGUGAAAUCCCGCGGCUCAACCGUGGAAGUGCACCCGAAACUGUAUCGCUAGAGUCCCGGAGAGGAUGGUGGAAUACUUGGUGUAGAGGUGAAAUUCGUAGAUAUCAAGUGGAACACCAGUGGCGAAAGCGGCGCGCUGGACACCUACUGACGCUGAGGCGCGAAAGCCAGGGGAGCAAACGGG
rnacentral:rRNA from 1 species